UUGGACCCUGGUCUGAGUGGUCUUCCUGUAGUUCUAGCUGUAUUCAAGCCAGAAAAAGACAAUGUAAUAAGAAAAAUACAUCAUCAGGAAAUGAAAGUGGAGGCUGUAUCUCUGAUACGAUAGAAGCGAAAGUCUGUGAUAUUGAUCGCUGUUCCCCAUCUACCCCUCAAACUACAAAAUCCCCAACAACUCGACUUCCUCCCACCACAACCACAUCAUCAGCAAUUUGUGGAAAACCGCCUAAAAUUGAGAGAGCCACCAUCUCUGCUGGAGGAAAUGUAGAGGGUGCCACUCGUACUUAUGUCUGUAAUCAAAACACAAGUACAGAAGGCAACACAACGAUCACGUGUGGUCCGGACGGACAGUGGUCAAGCACGAACCUUUACUGCAGGCUGUCUUGUGGACCACCACCAACAAUACCGCGAGGUGCUAUCUCUAAAGGUGACAAUCUCCAGGGCACAACAAGAACGUAUUCUUGUCUUAAUAACACCAUUAUGACAG